rnacentral:rRNA from 1 species
CAGCAGCCGCGGGAAUACGGAGGGUGCGAGCGUUAAUCGGAAUUACUGGGCGUAAAGCGUACGCAGGCGGUUUGUUAAGUCAGAUGUGAAAUCCCCGAGCUUAACUCGGGAACUGCAUUUGAAACUGGCAGGCUAGAGUCUCGUAGAGGGGGGUAGAAUUCCAGGUGUAGCGGUGAAAUGCGUAGAGAUCUGGAGGAAUACCGGUGGCGAAGGCGGCCCCCUGGACGAAGACUGACGCUCAGGUACGAAAGCGUGGGGAGCAAACAGGAUUAGAUACCCGUGUAGUCCCUGUCUCUUAUAA